GACGAACGCUGGCGGCGUGCUUAACACAUGCAAGUCGGACGGAUGGCACUGGAAGGUUCGCUGGAAGGUGCUGAUAGUGGCGGACGGGUGAGUAACGCGUGAGGACAUGUCUGCAGGAGGGGGAUAACGUUUGGAAACGGACGCUAAGACCCCGUAAGCCGGGAGGUGAAAGUGGCGAAAGCCAGCCUGUGGAGUGACUCGCGUCCUGUCAGCUAGUUGGCGGGGUGAAGGCCCACCAAGGCGAUGACGGGUAGCCGACCUGAGAGGGUGGCCGGCCACACUGGAACUGAGAUACGGUCCAGACUCCUACGGGAGGCAGCAGUGGGGAAUAUUGGGCAAUGGGCGGAAGCCUGACCCAGCGACGCCGCGUGGGGGAAGAAGUCUUUCGGGAUGUAAACCCUUGUUGUACGGGACGAAGGAAGUGACGGUACCGUACGAGGAAGCCCCGGCAAACUACGUGCCAGCCGCCGCAGUAAAAC
rnacentral:rRNA from 1 species